CGCGGGCGGGUGCUAUACAUGCAAGUCGUACGCUUCUUUUUCCACCGGAGCUUGCUCCACCGGAAAAAGAAGAGUGGCGAACGGGUGAGUAACACGUGGGUAACCUGCCCAUCAGAAGGGGAUAACACUUGGAAACAGGUGCUAAUACCGUAUAACAAUCGAAACCGCAUGGUUUUGAUUUGAAAGGCGCUUUCGGGUGUCGCUGAUGGAUGGACCCGCGGUGCAUUAGCUAGUUGGUGAGGUAACGGCUCACCAAGGCCACGAUGCAUAGCCGACCUGAGAGGGUGAUCGGCCACAUUGGGACUGAGACACGGCCCAAACUCCUACGGGAGGCAGCAGUAGGGAAUCUUCGGCAAUGGACGAAAGUCUGACCGAGCAACGCCGCGUGAGUGAAGAAGGUUUUCGGAUCGUAAAACUCUGUUGUUAGAGAAGAACAAGGAUGAGAGUAACUGUUCAUCCCUUGACGGUAUCUAACCAGAAAGCCACGGCUAACUACGUGCCAGCAGCCGCGGUAAUACGUAGGUGGCAAGCGUUGUCCGGAUUUAUUGGGCGUAAAGCGAGCGCAGGCGGUUUCUUAAGUCUGAUGUGAAAGCCCCCGGCUCAACCGGGGAGGGUCAUUGGAAACUGGGAGACUUGAGUGCAGAAGAGGAGAGUGGAAUUCCAUGUGUAGCGGUGAAAUGCGUAGAUAUAUGGAGGAACACCAGUGGCGAAGGCGGCUCUCUGGUCUGUAACUGACGCUGAGGCUCGAAAGCGUGGGGAGCAAACAGGAUUAGAUACCCUGGUAGUCCACGCCGUAAACGAUGAGUGCUAAGUGUUGGAGGGUUUCCGCCCUUCAGUGCUGCAGCUAACGCAUUAAGCACUCCGCCUGGGGAGUACGACCGCAAGGUUGAAACUCAAAGGAAUUGACGGGGGCCCGCACAAGCGGUGGAGCAUGUGGUUUAAUUCGAAGCAACGCGAAGAACCUUACCAGGUCUUGACAUCCUUUGACCACUCUAGAGAUAGAGCUUCCCCUUCGGGGGCAAAGUGACAGGUGGUGCAUGGUUGUCGUCAGCUCGUGUCGUGAGAUGUUGGGUUAAGUCCCGCAACGAGCGCAACCCUUAUUGUUAGUUGCCAUCAUUCAGUUGGGCACUCUAGCAAGACUGCCGGUGACAAACCGGAGGAAGGUGGGGAUGACGUCAAAUCAUCAUGCCCCUUAUGACCUGGGCUACACACGUGCUACAAUGGGAAGUACAACGAGUCGCGAAGUCGCGAGGCUAAGCUAAUCUCUUAAAGCUUCUCUCAGUUCGGAUUGUAGGCUGCAACUCGCCUACAUGAAGCCGGAAUCGCUAGUAAUCGCGGAUCAGCACGCCGCGGUGAAUACGUUCCCGGGCCUUGUACACACCGCCCGUCACACCACGAGAGUUUGUAACACCCGAAGUCGGUGAGGUAACCUUUUGGAGCCAGCCGCCUAAGGUGGGAUAGAUGAUUGGGGUGAAGUCGUAACAAGAGCUAGGG
rnacentral:rRNA from 1 species